UCAAAAUGAAAUGCAGUAAGAAAAUAAAAAAGGUAGGAAGUCUAAGAAGUCACUAAUUGGAUGAUGAUAUCCAGCAUCCUUAUUAAGAAACAGGCGGUGUCUAUGAGAGGGGAGGCUGCCCAUCAAAUGACGCAAGGGAAAACACCUGCUGCUGUAAAAAAACAAAAGGAAAAGAGAAACACAACGGGUGGACCGUGUCUGAGAACUACGUCGGAUGUCCCAGAGCCGCUCCGUUUCCAAGCUCCACACACUGGAUUAUUAUAUUUUCCCAUUUCCUGGAGGACGGAUUAUCGCGUGGAUGAUUUUUUUCCCCCCAUGAGAUCUGCACGUCAUAAACCGGGAGAAAGCCGAGUUGGAGCAGCGUUUUGGGAAAAUGUCAUGCAUGGAGUCAAAGGGAUGCAGUCCAUGCCACCAAUUGGUUUGACUCCUGAGGUCUUUUUUUUUAGAAGCAAGUGGUCAGUUUGAUCCUUUUGUUUACUAAAAGUCAUCAUUUGAUGUGACCAACUGUUGUGUUUAUGGAUUUUAGAAG